UAAAGUGGCCAGAUCCGCAUGAUUAUUCCUCUCCAUUACGUUAUCUCAUCCCUAUCGGGAGACAUGAUUCAUGGAGAAGCGGAGAAAGAAGUAAUGGAAUGAAGUGGAUGAAGAAAGACAGAAGGACAAGAAGAGGCAAGAAAAGAAGCAGAGUUACGAGAAAAGAGACAAGGCCCACGGAAGCAGAGAAAGAGCGAACAGUUAUGAGAGUGUGAAUGAGUGUGACACUGGAUUUAAUUCUGAAUUUAAAAAAGCCAUCCAAGUUCCUCUGAAACAAAAGGGCA